CCUACGGGGGGCAGCAGUGAGGAAUAUUGGUCAAUGGACGAGAGUCUGAACCAGCCAAGUAGCGUGAAGGAUGACUGCCCUAUGGGUUGUAAACUUCUUUUAUAUGGGAAUAAAACGUUCCACGUGUGGGAUUUUGUAUGUACCAUAUGAAUAAGGAUCGGCUAACUCCGUGCCAGCAGCCGCGGUAAUACGGAGGAUCCGAGCGUUAUCCGGAUUUAUUGGGUUUAAAGGGAGCGUAGGUGGAUUGUUAAGUCAGUUGUGAAAGUUUGCGGCUCAACCGUAAAAUUGCAGUUGAAACUGGCAGUCUUGAGUACAGUAGAGGUGGGCGGAAUUCGUGGUGUAGCGGUGAAAUGCUUAGAUAUCACGAAGAACUCCGAUUGCGAAGGCAGUUCACUGGACUGCAACUGACACUGAGUCUCGAAAGUGUGGGUAUCAAACAGGAUUAGAUACCCCGGUAGUC
rnacentral:rRNA from 1 species